rnacentral:lncRNA from 1 species
UAUUCUUUUUCACUUGAGGUCAGAUAUUAAUUCGUCGUGUAAUUUCUUCCAUUGUAUCUGGCUCUAUUUUCUAAAUGUGUAUAUCUAUGUACGUAGUGCGGCUCAAUUUUAUUGUUUGUCACGCUCAAUGAGCAUUAGAAAUGUAUUACUCCGCCGUAUUUCGAUUUUAUUCUUGAAAUGUAUUCCACUGUGUCUGGCUGGUAUAAUUCCGUCUUACAUAGUUUGUCGUUAUAACUGUGUGUUAUUAAUUGAUAAUUUGUGCCUUGUUAAUUAUAUUUGAUGAGUAAAAAUGACAUUGAAAUUCAUUUUAAACAAGUAUGGCAACAAAGAGCUGUUGGUAGACGGGUUUUUGUUUACACGUCAGUAUACUGGAAAAAAAGAAAUUACUUGGCGUUGUCAAUCAUAUGAAUCUUAUGAUUGUGCUGCUAAAGCUCAUACAACAAAUGUUUCUUGUACAGUUUGAGAUUAUGUGGGACAUACGUUCAUCCUGGUGAUCCUGUCGGUAUUGCAAAAUAAAAAGUGUUGUCCAAGUUACGUUCACGUGCACAAAAAUCGUCAGACAAUACCAAAUCGAUUGUGGCUUAGUGUAUAUCUAACGUGCUUUCACCAGUUGCUGCUGCAUUGCCUCGAGUUGAGUCAAUGCGUCGGCAAGUACAACGUAUAUGUCAUGACGUGCGUCCAUAUUUAGCAACGCCAAAAUCUGUAGAUGAGUUAAUUCUACCUGAUGAAUUUACAUGUACGUGAAAAGGUGAUGAAUUUUCGUUGUAUGAUAGUGGUGGUAAAAAUCAGAUUUUAAUUUUUACGACUGAUAAAAAUUUAAAUUUUUUAGCUUCAUGUCCAGUGAUUCUGUGUGAUGGAACUUUUUAUUCUAUUCCAAGUAUUUUUGCGCAAUUGUAUACGUUUCAUGGUUAGAAUGAAUCCGAUAUGACAUUGCCUGUUGUAUACGUAUUAAUGUCUAAUAGACGUCUUGCAUCAUAUGUAAAGGUUUUGAAUGUUUUGUUACAAUUAAAACCUGAAAUUAAGCCAGUUUAAAUUUUAAUUGAUUUUGAGAAUGCUUUUGUUAAAGCAGUACAUGAAGUUUUUCCAGAUUCAAUUGUGUGUGGUUGUAACUUUCAUUUUAAUCAGUGUUUUGGCGUAAUGUUCAAUGUAAUGGUCUAUUUAUUCUUUAUAAUAAUGAUAUAAAUUAUUCUACUGAUAUUAGAAUGUUGGCAGAAUUAGCUUUUGUGCCUAUUUGUGAUUUAGAUUUUGCUCUGUUGAUCACAAUCUUUGUUGAUAAUGCUGAUGAAUUAGAACCGUUGUUGGGAUAUCUUAAGCCAACCUGGUUGGGUCUUAAAAGUACUCGUUGUCAUCGUAAGCCUUUCAAGACAUAUUAUGUGGAAUUGUUAUGAACGCGUUAUUUGUAAUCAGCCUCGUACUACAAAUGCUGUUAAAGGUUGGCACAAUUCUUUUAAUAAACGAGUGUCACGUGCUCAUCCCACAAUUGGUGAAUUUAUCAAUUGUAUGAAAGAUGAACAAGCAAAUACUGAGUUGACGUUGGCUCAAAUAAGUGUUCAACGCGUGGUCCUACAACAUAAACGACGUAGAUAUGUUGAAUAUGAUAAUCGUUUAGAAAAAAUUGUUGAAAGUUAUAAAAAAUAUAAUAUUAUUUGUUACUUGAGAGCUGUAGGUUUGAAUUUAGAAAUGUAAUUAAUAAUUUUUGUUCAUUGAUCUGGUGGUCGUACCACAUAAACGACGUCGAUAUGUUAAAAUGAUAAUUGUUUAAAAAAAAUUGUGGGAAAAUAUGAAAAAGAUAAUAUUAUUUGUUAUUUAAGA